rnacentral:rRNA from 1 species
CACAGAGUUAGCCGGUGCUUUUUCUGUGGGUUAGGUCAAAAAUGCAGAGGUAUUAACCCUGCACAUUUCAUCCCCACUAAAAGUGCUUUACAACCCGCAGGCCUUCUUCACACACGCGGCGUCGCUGGAUCAGGGUUUCCCCCAUUGUCCAAUAUUCCCCACUGCUGCCUCCCGUAGGAGUCUGGGCCGUGUCUCAGUCCCAGUGUGGCUGGUCGUCCUCUCAGACCAGCUACGGAUCGUCGCCUUGGUAGGCCGUUACCCUACCAACUAGCUAAUCCGACUUCGGCUCAUCUUUUGGCGCAAGGUCUUGCGAUCCCCCUGCUUUCUCCCGUAGGACGUAUGCGGUAUUAGCUAACCUUUCGGCUUAGUUAUUCCCACCACUAAGGUAGAUCCGUAAGACAUUACUCACCCGUUCGCCGCUCGUCCAGCAUGUAUUGUCUACACCUGUUACCGCCUCGACUUGUCACUGUGUUAGGCGACGCCGCCACGCGUUCGAAUACUGAGCCGAGGA